rnacentral:rRNA from 1 species
GCUUCAGGGGCGAAUAUUAACGUUGUUGCAGUCAAAAAGCUCGUAGUCGAAUUUUUUUGUGGGUGGGGUGUGAUUUGAUUGGGUGUAACCUUCAUGGUAGCACCUGCUGGCAAUUCUUGGUGUCGUAAGACGCCUUUUUUCACUGUAAAAAAAUUAGAGUGUUUCAAACAGGACGUAGGUCUUGAAUAGAAUAGUAUGGA